rnacentral:rRNA from 1 species
UACGUAGGGUGCGAGCGUUGCCCGGAUUUAUUGGGCGUAAAGGGCGCGUAGGCGGCUCGGCACGUCCGUUGUGAAAUCGCCCGGCUCAACUGGGCAGGGUCAGCGGAUACGGCCGAGCUUGAGCAAGCUAGGGGGCAAUGGAAUUCCCGGUGUAGUGGUGGAAUGCGUAGAUAUCGGGAGGAACACCAGUGGCGAAGGCGGUUGCCUGGAGCUUUGCUGACGCUGAUGCGCGAAAGCGUGGGGAGCGAUCCGG